CAGCAGUGGGGAAUAUUGCACAAUGGGGGAAACCCUGAUGCAGCAACGCCGCGUGAAGGAAGACGGUUUUCGGAUUGUAAACUUCUGUUCUUAGUGAAGAAUAAUGACGGUAGCUAAGGAGCAAGCCACGGCUAACUACGUGCCAGCAGCCGCGGUAAUACGUAGGUGGCAAGCGUUGUCCGGAAUUACUGGGUGUAAAGGGAGCGUAGGCGGGAAGCCAAGUCAGCUGUGAAAACUACAGGCUUAACCUGUAGACUGCAGUUGAAACUGGUUUUCUUGAGUGAAGUAGAGGUUGGCGGAAUUCCGAGUGUAGCGGUGAAAUGCGUAGAUAUUCGGAGGAACACCGGUGGCGAAGGCGGCCAACUGGGCUUUAACUGACGCUGAGGCUCGAAAGUGUGGGGAGCAAACAGGAUUAGA
rnacentral:rRNA from 1 species